UCAGAAGCUAGGCUGCACUUUGCAAGCAUUCAGUCUCCCCACUGUCCCCAGGACCAGAGGCUGCUGUGCCAAGUGCCUCCAGCUCUUUGGGGAGGGGCUCAGCAGCACCCUUACCUUUGGCCAAGUGCUUGCUGUGUUCCCCCCCUCCUGACUCAACUCAAGAAACAGUCAGACUUCCUAAAACCCCCCAAUCUAAGGAGGCCUGCAGGACCCCUAUGAAGAAAGAUCCCAUGUCACCUUUUCAGCUUGAAUUCAUCAGCACGAGAUGAAGGAGGCUCAAGACUUUUCCCGCUCUGCAGAAAAGUGCAUCCAAAAGCAGCACCGGAGUCUCUGCCGUCCUCUCUUCCACAGUAUACCGCAGGGUCACCCAUGAGCUAGCAUCACAAAACUCUCAUAAGCAGACACUGUGAAGCACCAACCAAUUUGUUUUCAGAUCCUACCCUGGAGACUAUUUGACAAAGCAAUGUAGAUGAAGCCACAACUUCUCCUAUGAGGCAAUACUAUCAUGACUCCCAUGGCACGUGCUAAUUUUUAUAGAACUUCAGGCAGACAAGAGAUGCAGUCCAGCUGUGCAAGUCACCUCUAAAGGAAUGCCAUACUAGCAUACGGAAAAUGCUGACAGGCUGCUCCCUCCCCACCACCCAAGGGGAAAAAAAAAACCAAACAAACCAACUUUACAGCAAAAAGGAUUACCAACUGUACCAACUGGGAUAUCCCAGCUAGCUUAAAUCUGACUUCAGCAGUCAAGUCUUACAUCACAUGACCCAGGGUUAGUCAGCUAUCAGGCUGAAUUAUUAAGCCAGUCCUUUCACUUUGACACCAAGAAAUAAUGACUCUCAUGACAUUUCUUCCUAUUCACUUGCUUGCCACAUAACACUGGUGAUAUCUUUGUUACAAAAUAAACACCAGCUACCAGAACCUAAUUUACAUGCAACCUGCUCCAGCUUCUCUCAAGCAUGGAUGGCGAUGGCUCAGUUUAAGUAGUUUACGAGAAACUGUAAAUUCCAGUGGUUAAAUAUGCUUAACAUAAUUUGAAUGUCAUAGAAAACUCUUAGGCACCUCCAUUUCUAAAAAAGCAAACUGGCAUCUGAACAUCCCAUGCCCUGGAGAAUCACAGACAUCCUGGAGCUUUGAGGCAGGAUAUAAAUCCCUGCUAAUUUGUCUGGCCCAACCACCAUGCACUGAAAUGAAUUGCAGACCAAUUAGGCUGACAGAUGGGGGGUUUGCCUAUUCAUGCUCCUCAGAGAGGAAGAGGUAAUGCUUAGAAGAACAUUUCUUCUCUAGGGCUGGGUCUGAUUUCUCCUACUGUCCACAGCAAUUUUAAAGCAUGUAUUGAAGAGCCCUAGGAAAAGUGCCAGGUAUAGCACAACAGUUCUUCAACAAGGAAAAGGGGAGGGGAGGCAGUAUCCCUAGGGAUCCUGGAAUAUGCUACAGUGGGGUUGCCUACUCAAGACUCAUUUUAUCCUCACCUGGCAAUGUGUUCUAAUGCUUUACUGUAAAUUUUGUUUUACAUUAUACAUAGUUUUUACAUAA